rnacentral:rRNA from 1 species
GACAGAGGAUGCAAGCGUUAUCCGGAAUGAUUGGGCGUAAAGCGUCUGUAGGUGGCUUUUUAAGUCCGCCGUCAAAUCCCAGGGCUCAACCCUGGACAGGCGGUGGAAACUACCAAGCUGGAGUACGGUAGGGGCAGAGGGAAUUUCCGGUGGAGCGGUGAAAUGCGUAGAUAUCUGGAGGAACACCGGUGGCGAAGGCGGCAUCCUGGACCAAUUCUGACGCUGAGGAGCGAAAGCCAGGGGAGCAAACGGG